rnacentral:lncRNA from 1 species
UUAGCGAUAAAUAAUUUAAAGAACUACACAUCCCAGUAGACUGUUAACGCGACUGGAGAAUUUGGGGUGAGGGUGUCUUGUUGAGCGGGGGCAACACACAGGGUCUACACGCAGCAUUGUGAGAAUUACAUUGUUGCACAUUAUCCAAGGGCUUAGAGACGAUAAAAUAACGCACAGCAGGAUAAAAUCCUAGUGCACAACUGCAUCAGAAUACUACGUGGACGCUGGAAACGACCACCGGCAGAGAAUUGAUGUGAAUAAUCAUAUGGAAGCUGAAUGCUGUUCAUUUAGUGCAACAUCUACAACAGUCUGCAGAAAUUUACAUUCCAGAGAGGAGGUGAAGUGGGUGUCUUUACGUCCAAAAAUUGCCCCAGCUUUAAGAAUACACCAUGAUGAAGUGUUAUGCAUCCUAAGAGGCAUUGCAAGCCAGCUGUGA